ACGUACCUCCUGCGGGAGGCAGCAGUGGGGAAUAUUGGACAAUGGGCGCAAGCCUGAUCCAGCCAUGCCGCGUGAGUGAUGAAGGCCCUAGGGUUGUAAAGCUCUUUCACCGGUGAAGAUAAUGACGGUAACCGGAGAAGAAGCCCCGGCUAACUUCGUGCCAGCAGCCGCGGUAAUACGAAGGGGGCUAGCGUUGUUCGGAUUUACUGGGCGUAAAGCGCACGUAGGCGGACUAUUAAGUCAGGGGUGAAAUCCCGGGGCUCAACCCCGGAACUGCCUUUGAUACUGGUAGUCUUGAGUUCGAGAGAGGUGAGUGGAAUUCCGAGUGUAGAGGUGAAAUUCGUAGAUAUUCGGAGGAACACCAGUGGCGAAGGCGGCUCACUGGCUCGAUACUGACGCUGAGGUGCGAAAGCGUGGGGAGCAAACAGGAUUAGAUACCCCAGUAGUCCCAUG
rnacentral:rRNA from 1 species